rnacentral:rRNA from 1 species
GAUUCCUACGGGAGGCAGCAGUGGGGAAUAUUGCACAAUGGGCGAAAGCCUGAUGCAGCGACGCCACGUGAGGGAUGACGGCCUUCGGGUUGUAAACCUCUUUCAGCAGGGAAGAAGCGCAAGUGACGGUACCUGCAGAAGAAGCGCCGGCUAACUACGUGCCAGCAGCCGCGGUAAUACGUAGGGCGCAAGCGUUGUCCGGAAUUAUUGGGCGUAAAGAGCUCGUAGGCGGUCUGUCGCGUCUGGUGUGAAAUCCCAUGGCUCAACUGUGGGCUUGCAUCGGGUACGGGCAGACUAGAGUGCUGUAGGGGAGACUGGAAUUCCUGGUGUAGCGGUGGAAUGCGCAGAUAUCAGGAGGAACACCGAUGGCGAAGGCAGGUCUCUGGGCGGUUACUGACGCUGAGGAGCGAAAGCAUGGGGAGCGAACAGGAUUAGAUACCCUGGUAGUCCAUGCCGUAAACGUUGGGCACUAGGUGUGGGGCGGGUUCCACUCGUUCUGUGCCGUAGCUAACGCAUUAAGUGCCCCGCCUGGGGAGUACGGCCGCAAGGCUAAAACUCAAAUGAAUUGACGGGG